rnacentral:rRNA from 1 species
AUGGAUCCCCGCGGCGGCGACUUCCCGUGCAUCGUCCAAGCCCUACCCUCCGUGGAUCCGAACGAAGCCGCCUCCGACUCGCCCUGCAUCGUCCAGGCCCUAGCGGCGUCCCCCUCGCCGUCCCCUUCCAAAGCCCUCGCCCUCACGCCCGCGGCCAGAGACCAGCCGCCGCCCGCCUUCAAAUCCUCCAGGCCCCCGAGCCCCCGCCGCACGCGCUCCGGCCGCGCGCCCGAGUGGACCGCCGCCGAGACCCUCGCGCUCGUCGCCGCCGUCGCCGCCGUGGACGACGACGGCUGGGCCCGCUCCGUCUCCGCCUUCCAGAAGUGGGCCAUCGUCGCCGAGAACAUCGCCUUCUCCGAUGCCGGUGGGGCGCCCUCGAGGCGCAGGGGGAGGGCGGCCGGCGAGUGCAAGCGGAGGUGGGAGGCGCUCGUGGCGGAGUACGGGGCGGUGCGCCGCUGGGAGGGGCGGACCGGGGGGAGUUACUGGCGCAUGAGCGCCGCGGCCAGGAGGAAGGCCGGGCUCCCCGCGGAGUUCGACGCCGAGGUGUAUGGCAUCAUGGACGCGCUGAUCCGGGUCGACGAGGCGCUCCUUGGCGGCGCCGGGGGAGGAGGGGGCGACGAGGGCUUGGUCAGUGCUAAUGGUGGUGCUGGUGAUACUGCUGAGGUGGGAGAGGAAGAGGGUGGCGAUGCUGGGGUUGAAGAAGAGGAGGAGGCGGAUGGUGACGGGAGUGAGGAGGAGAUGCAGGUGGAUGAUGAAAAUGCUGCGAAUGCUUCUGAUGAUUUGGGGUGUGAGAUGGAGACCGACAACGAACCAAAGAAAAGCCAAGCCGACGCAUGGGAGUUAGCCAACAGGCUAAACGAGAACGCUCAGCAUAUUCAUAUGAUACUAAGUGGAGACGCUGAUGAAGAUGGUGGCCACCACAAUGCUCCUGCCUAUGCCGUCUCACCUGAUGCAAUGGAGACCACUCGGCAGAAAGCCGACGAGCUGAUCAAGUCGCUAGGUGGGCUCGUGAGCUACUUGAACCAGUUCACCGAUCUGAUCAAGGAAAACGGGAUCGAGGAUGUCGUCGGUGUGAACUGA